UGACUUUUUAGUGUAAAAAUAUAAUUUUUUGUUAAAGUGAACAGUACCAGGUUUGACUUUUUAGUGUAAAAAUGUGGUUUUUCGUUAAAGUGAACAGUACCGUAGGCUUUUCAUUAAAGCUUCCUUUAUUAAAAUUCACUUUCUAAGCAUGAACGAUUACAACAUUCGAUUAUGCAUCCCUCACUUGAACUAAUGACUAAAGCUAAGUCACUUAUAACCAUCAAUCUAGGUCAUUUGGUCAUAAUGUCAACCCCCACUUUCAUUCAGUGGCGGAUCCAGGAAAUAAUAUUAGGGGGUUAGUAAGAAUAGCGCGCUCAGUGCGCAAUUUUUUUUUACCAAAAAUAGUAUGCAUAUUGUCAUUUCAUCGAGUCUUGGUAGGCCUAAAGUCAUUUGGAAAGACAUAUUGCACACCUGUUAAUGUAUGUAAGGGGCACCACCCAAGCUAUCCAUAGACAUUCACCGAGUCUUGGUAGACCUGAAGUUAGUUGGAUGGCAUGUAUGAAGCCAACUCUAAUCUUCAAAAUGGCAGCACCCAAGGUAUCCAUGGGCAUUCACCGAAGUUCGGAAGGUCAGCACCCAAAGUAUCCAUGAACUUUCACCGAAAUUCGGAGGUCAGCUGACCCCCCUGCCCCUCAAUGCAUCCACCACUGCUUCCAUUAUACUUUAAAAUUCACUUUCUAAGCAUGUGUGAUUACAACAUUCGAUAAUGCAUCCCUCACUUGAACUAAUGACUAAAGCUAAGUCACUUACAACCUUCAAUCUAGGUCAUUCGGUCAUAAUAUCAAACCCCACUUGCAUUAUACAAUUUAUUAAAAUUCACUUUCUAAGCAUGUAUGAUUACAACAUUCGAUUAUGCAUCCCUCACUUGAACUAAUGACUAAAGCUAAGUCACUUACAACCAUCAAUCUAGGUCAUUUGGUCAUAAUGUCAACCACCACUUCCAUAAGUGGCGGAUCUAGGAAAUAAUAUUAGGGGGGUCAGUAAGAAUAGCGCGCUCAGUGCACAAUUGUUUUUUACUAGAAAUAGCAUACAUAUCGCCAUUUCAUCGGGCCUUGGUAGGCCUAAAGUCAUUUGGAAAGACAUAUUGCACACUUGUUAAUGUAUGCAAAGGGCAGCACCCAAGCUAUCUAUGGACAUUCAUCGAGUCUUGGUAGGCCUGAAGUUAGUUGGAGGGCAUGUAUGAAGCCAACUAUAAUCUUCAAAAUGGCAGCACCCAAGGUAUCCAUGGACAUUCAUCGAAGUUUGGAAGGUCAGCAUCCAAAGUAUCCGUAAACGUUCACCGAAGUUCGGAAGGUUAGUUGACCCCCUUGCCCCUCAAUGCAUCCACCACUAUUAUACUUUAAAAUUCACUUUCUAAGCAUGUAUGAUGACAACAUUCGAUUAUGCAUCCCUCACUUGAACUUAUGACUAAAGCUAAGUCACUUACAACCAUCAAUCUAGGUCAUUUGGUCAAUAUCAACACCCACUUCCAUUAUACUUUAAAAUUCACUUUCUAAGCAUGAUCGAUCUCAGAGCACUCAUGGGACAAGGCUUAGUGGGGUGGUUGUAUCAAAUUGUGUAAAAUUAAACCCGUAAAUGUUUACGUGGAUAGUUUUUGUUGAUACAUAUACCUUGAAGUCUUUGAUAAAACGGGAUGUUUCUAAUAGCAUGUACUAAUACCCUUAUAACACAAUCAUCAAACACUCCAAGAUUCUAUUGCUUUGUAUAUGGACAUGCGAACUUGUUCUGAGCAUAAAGUAGUCAAACGGUGGAAUUUUUGAGUGAUUCCAAUUGGAGUGGGUUCGUGAAUCUGUUAAGAAGGUUGUAGCAAAAUUUCAUAAUUUUAUCCUGAAGCUUCUGAUCGUAUCGAAUUAAUUUAUGCACAGCGUGCAGUGCCGGCAGAUUGGGCUGCAGAGCUUAUUUGUGACUUUUGGGCUGGAGGAUGAUGAAUUUUGGACUUGGGCUUUUCUUGGAACUUGAAGAGGAGAUCCUAAUCUUUAAUUUGAGUCGUUUUGGGCCUGAUUUGGAGCCCUGAAGAUCCAGAAACGUGGUUAUGUCUUUGCUGGGCAGAUUUCAUAGUCAGAAUAGAAAUGUAAUUCCUAGUUAUAUUUUUAUUAUUUUAUUUCCUAGUUUUUAGAAAACCUUUUCUAUGAGGGUUUUAAUUUGGAGUAGUAUAAAUAAGGUUUUUAGCCAUUAGGGUUUUGGGGGAGCAACAUUGAGAGAAUUUAGCAUUAUUUUGGAGAACUUCAUAUUUUUUGCCUUGUUUUCAUUCUUUUUUCUAGUUAAUAUAUUUUCUUUAUUUUGUUUUA